rnacentral:piRNA from 1 species
UUCUCUGAUAACUCACCAACCAUGUUGGAGA